UCCGAAGUAGUCUAGCGGUAUGGCGCAAGCUUGGAAAGCUUGUGGGGCUUGGUUCCCCUCGGGAGUUCGAAUCUCCCCCUCGGCG
rnacentral:tRNA from 1 species